rnacentral:rRNA from 1 species
GACGAACGCUGGCGGCGUGCCUAACACAUGCAAGUCGAACGGAGUCGGCCCCGCAAGGGACUGACUUAGUGGCGAACGGGUGAGUAACGCGUGAGCAACCUGCCUUUCAGUGGGGGACAACAGUUGGAAACGACUGCUAAUACCGCAUAAUGCAUUUUGACCGCAUGAUCGAGAUGCCAAAGAUUUAUUGCUGAAAGAUGGGCUCGCGUCUGAUUAGAUAGUUGGUGGGGUAACGGCCCACCAAGUCGACGAUCAGUAGCCGGACUGAGAGGUGGAACGGCCAAAUUGGGACUGAGAUACGGCCCAGACUCCUACGGGAGGCAGCAGUGGGGAAUAUUGGGCAAGGGGGGAAACCCUGACCCAGCAACGCCGCGUGAAGGAAGAAGGCUUUCGGGUUGUAAACUUCUUUUACCAGGGACGAAGAAAGUGACGGUACCUGGAGAAAAAGCCACGGCUAACUACGUG